rnacentral:lncRNA from 1 species
GUUCAAAAUAGGCCAAUCCACAGAAACAGAAUCUGAAUUUCUGUUUGCCUAGGUCUGAGGGCUUAGCAGAAAUGGGACUGUCUCCUAACGAGUAGAGUGUUUCUUCUGGAGCAGUGAUGGAAAGCUUCCAAAAUCGAUUGUGGUGACAUUGCACAAUUCUGUGAGAAUAUUAAAAACACUGAUUUACACACCUUAAAGUGUGACUCGUAUUACAUGUGAACUAUAUCUCACUGAUGCUGUAAUGAUGACUAAAGACUGCACGGUGAAUCAGCAACACAGAAAACAUCCCCCAGAAGGGAGGACAGAGUCUCGUUCACUCACUUUAAGGGAUCCCAACCAGGGCAAUGAAAACACAGAGGAAUUCCAGUAGCGAAUGUUCUAGGUACUAGGACAUCCUGAAACAUCCAUGAGGAUUUCUAUGUUUUAAUUUUUUUAAAAAAGGCACCUAAAGUUUAAAAAAACAUAUUCACAAGUGUCAUAAAAGAAUCAUCGUAGCUCAGGGGGAGGAGAACACAGGGAGCCAUCAAAUGGAAAAGAAGUGGAAGAGUUCGGAUCAUGUGGAUCUGCACCCCGAACAUGAAUGUGGACUCGCGUUUAUUACUGCUCCACCCCAGAGAGACGUCAAACAGCCCAAUUAAUGAGAUCUCUUUCAAAAGCAUCAGUUUAUGACAAAACAAAAUAUUAGGAAAUAAAUAUUUUGCAAUCAUGAAUUGAAUCUUCCAGAUUCCAAGAUUUAUAACUAAAAACUCCUGAAGGUUCCAUUUCAGAGGCAUUGAAGUGACUCUCCUCCUCGUCGUUGGAGUGGAUUCCAGAAGUGACAGAUGCCUUCAGGAUCAAACUGAAAAGAGGGUUUCCUCCUCUCUAAAUGCAGAUGAUGAUAAACCUCCCUCCGAGGGGUGUGGCGAGAAGGAAGCACAGGGAAAGUGUGGAUCCAGCCCCAGCACAGAGUGAGAGGGAAGACAUGUCAGCUGCUGGAUUCUCACACAUGCCUCCUCCUGGCCUUGAUCUGCUCACUGCCCUGCAUCAGGGAAGACUGCACAGGCCAGCCUGGAGAACCAGACCCAGGUGAGAACACCAGGUCACAAGGAAGAGGCCUGGCCCUGAGUCUGCCACCAGGGGCCCCACAGCUUCAUUUGUACAAGACAGCUCCGGUCCACUCUGCACACCCACCUGAGCGCUGACCUGCUUUAUACCAAGCACAACACUGGGGGCCACGGUCGGGAGCAAGACAGCUCCUGCCCCCAGGAACGUCAGACCCAGGGAAAGGAGAACCAAUGACGGCCUCGGGUAACCAGUGGUCACUGAUCUAGUGCUUCUCAUGGAGGUUUAAACAGAAACAUAAAGAAGCAAGCCAUUUGAAAGACAGUCGACAGAAAUUGGAAAAAAAUGAAAUCAUCUAGCUAAAUGAGCAUGGAGGUAUAAUCCGCUUGUCAAAAUCUUGGCAGGAUGCUCAUCAGCUAUGCAGGCUGCUGGUUGAGUGGGUAGUAGAGGCAGCAGAACAAACCACCCUGUGCGGGAACCAAGCGCACUGGUGGGAAAUCUCCACCAAGAGCAGGGUUGUCAUCACCGCUCCCCCAGAUUACCUGUGGAACAAUCUGACCCUCACCCAACAUCUGCCCUGAGGGUCAUUUUCAUUGAUGGAGACUCACGCGAGCACCAUGUACUUCCAGCUCUGGAAAGCAAGGGGUCGACUGACCCACACAUAUCAGGACCUGGCCUUGGUCCUGCUACCCUGCAGGUGCCCCAGUGCCAACAGUGAGCCUACCUGGAUCUGCCCAAAGUCCAUGGUGAUGGUAGCAGCAGAGGUGAAACCUUUAAUGAUGGCACAGGAGACGAAGUCCAGCAGGAACCCUGGCAGCCAAGAGGGAAUACUGUGUUGGUCAGAGCUCUGCCUGGUCCCAGAGGACAUGGGUGGACAUGGCGGGGAAAGGCAGUGUGGAUAAGACUGAGGCUGAGGACUGGAAUGACAUGCUCUGUUUGGGCUGGUUGGAGAGCAGGAAAGGGAGGUUGGGGUCUGAGGCUCUGGGAGCUUCUCCAAGUGUCCUGGCCUCUCAGCAGAAUAGGGGAGGGCUGAGGGGUGAGGGUCCCCCUGCCCCUACUACACGCACACAGGGAUAGCCCUUGGAAUGCAAAGAAGGAAAUGCUGAGGGCAGGGCCAUCCCCAGGAGGCAGGGGCCUCGGUACUCUGGGAAGAGCAGAACCACACCACCCCCACCAUGGAAUGAAGGCCUGAGAGUCUUCCCCAAGUGCAGGGACCCCAUGGCUAACUGCAUGCAGCCCGCAGGAAAGCCAGCAGCACAGCACAGGCGGGCUCAGGGUAACAUGCCAGAAGAUGACCAGGAAGAACUACACGAAGCACCCAUGAAGGCAGAGUAGAAGCCACACUGUUGGGGAGAGAGUGAUGAGCACCCAGGAGGCACACGGCACACCCAUGGUGCCCCUGGUGUAGACAUCUGAGCACAGGGGUCUGCGGUGUCCACUGUGUACUUUGGGCACACCAGCGCACACAGCCAGGGUAACCACUCACCCUCGAUCAUCCAUGAGUGUGACCUGCUGUGAUGAGGGGACCUCUUUUCUACCCGCACCCAAGGGGGCCACAGGUGCCACCUGCGGGAGCACAAAGACCUGCGUGUUUCUGUGUGAGUCUGCGAGUCUGAGAAAUAAUGCUUAAAGCUACUGUGAGUCAUCCUGCUGGCCCCAUCACACAACCCAGAACUGCCCUGAUACCUGUGUGUGACAAGUGUGACAAGAGAAGUUAUAAGGGCGUGUGUCUCCCCAAAGGCAGUCACGUGCUGUAGACUGUAAACCAAGGCUUCUUGGUUCCCAUGGGGCUGGAGCGCUGGGUGCCCUGCUGUCUGGAGGGGAUACUGUGCAUUUCUACUCUGCUUCUGGGCAGGCGAUGAGGCCUAGUGUGGGGUCAGGGCGGGGAUGUGGCCAGCAGCAGGGGCAGACAUCUCACUUGGGGCAGGAAUCAGGUCACCUCAGCACAGGCCAGCACGUGGGGAAUGACCUUGAGCCCCACUGAAAGUCCAGUGAUGAAGUCCAUCUUCAGAGUCCAACAGCCAGGCCAGGAUGGGCAGCCUCCUCUGCACGGCCGCAGGGGGGCAGCAGUGGUCUUGCAGGGCCAUGCUGGAGCCUGAGGGCCUGGCCUCACUCAGCCUGGGGUGGAGCAGGGGCAACACAGACCAGCAGUCAGGGUCCGGGCCUCAGAGGACCCAGCAAUAGGGCGGGGGUCCAGGGCAUCAGGGGAGGCACAAUCUGUCUCCCCUCCAGGG